rnacentral:sRNA from 1 species
GCCAGGCAUGGUGGUGCAGUCCUGUAAUCCCAGCAGCUCUGGAGGAUGAGGCAGGGGGAUCACAAGUUCAAUGCCAGCCUCAGCAAAAGCGAGGUGCUAAGCAACUCAGUGAGACCCUGUCUCUA